AGCAGCCGCGGUAAUCCCAGCUCCAAUAGCGUAUAUUAAAGUUGUUGCAGUUAAAAAGCUCGUAGUUGAAUUUCGGGAUCAAUUCGUCGGUCGUGCUUUUUGGUACGUACUGGCGUUAUUGGUUUCUCCUUUCUGACGAGCCAUGAUGUCAUUAAUUUGGUGUUAUGGGGAUCAGGACUGUUACUUUGAAAAAAUUGAGUGUUUAAAGCAGGCAUUAGCUUGAAUACAUUAGCAUGGAAUAAUGAAAUAGGACGUUCGAUCCUAUUUUGUGGUUUCUAGGAUCAACGUAAUGAUUAAUAGGGAUAGUUGGGGGCAUUAGUAUUCAAUUGUCAGAGGUGAAAUUUCUUGGUAUUUAUUGAAGACUUAACUACUGCGAAAGCAUUUGCCAAGGAUGUUUUCAUUAAUCAAGUAACGAAGUUAAGGGAUCGAAGACGAU
rnacentral:rRNA from 1 species